rnacentral:tRNA from 1 species
UCCCUCUUAGCUCAGUUGGUAGAGCGUGUCACUAGUACAUGUCUGACGCCCCAUUAUGAUGACGAGGUCAGUCGUUCAAGUCAGCUAGAGGGAA